AUGAGAGGCACCCCCAAAC
rnacentral:misc_RNA from 1 species